AAGGUUCGACUCGAGCGAAGCGAGAGAACGUUGCCGCAGGCAACGGCCCGAAGGGCGAGGAGCGAUAGCGACGAGUUAUCCUUCCCCCACCACCA
rnacentral:sRNA from 1 species